GGGCGGGGCGGAGGGGCCGGGCCGAGGCCGCUCGUCCCUUGCCCGGGGCGGCGCUCGGCGGUGGCGGCCAUGGCCGGGGGGCGGCGGGGCCCGGGAGCGCUGGCGGAGCCGCGGCGGCUGAUGCGCUCGGGGCUGGGGCUGAUCGUGCUGGGCCACGGCAGCCUCGUGCUGGGCGCCAUCGUGCACGGCUCGGUCCUGCGGCACGUGGCCGGCGCCCGCCGCGUCGUCACCCCCGAGUACGCGGCGGCCAACGUGGUGUCGGUGUGCUCGGGGCUGCUGAGCAUCGCCGCGGGCAUCGUCGCCAUCCUGGUGUCGCACAACCUGUCCCGGGCGGCUCUGGUGAGUGCGGGGCUCCGGGCGGGCGGGGGGAGCUCGGCGCGGCCCUGCCCCGCCCGCAGCCGCUCCCCCGGACCUUGGCCCCGCGGGUUCCUUCCGCCUCGGCGGCGGCUGCCGGUGUCGCCCGUGUCCGGCCCGGCCCCGCCGGCCGCUCCGGGAGGGCGGCAGCGCCGUCCUCGGGCAGAAGCUGCCGCCGGCUCGGGGGUCCCGGGGCUCGCAGGGUGGGCGGACACGGGGUGGGGUGCGCCGGGCCGGGCCGGGCUGGGCUGGGCUGGGCUGGGGGCUCCCGGCACGCCGCCGAGCCCGUGUGGGGUCUCCACGGAGCCCGAGGAAGGGGUCCGGCUGUGCGGAGUUCACGGGCGGGUGAAGGAUGCGAAAAGUGCGAGACCCUCAUCCGAGGGCAGGGCCGAGCCGUCCUGGAAGGGGCAGGAGAUGGUGUGUGCUCCCUCGGGGGAGCGUUUCUCCAUCGGUGCCCGGCCCGAGCGUUUCCCCGAGCUCCUGCCAGUCCCACCCGCAUUCUUGCCGCCUGCAGCACUGGACCCUGCUGAGCAUUUCUGUGCUGAACUGCCUCCUGUCCACGGCGUGCAGCGCGGGGCUGGCGCUGGCCAUCGCCCUCACGGUGCACAGCCGGGGCACGCACCUGGUCAGGGGCUGCAACAGCUCCGCGCUGCCUCUGGAUGCCCGGGCAGCCAUUGCGACCAACGAGUGUCCCUUCAACACCACGCGCAUCUACGUGAGUCCGCAGGGUCACUGCACACCCCCACUCCUCCCGUCAGCCCCUUCCUCUCUCUGCUUCCUCUCGUCUUUUCACUCUCACGCUCCCUCCUGCUUCCCUUCUCUCUCCCUCUCCCCGUUCUUUCCCCUGCUGUCCACACAGUCUCUGCUGAGUGUGUUCAGCCAGCCUGGUGCAGUGCCCGCGUUCCUCUGACCUCUGCUCCGCAGGACACAGCCCUGGCACUCUGGUUUCCCUCCUUGCUGCUGGCAGCUGCAGAAGCCGUGCUCUCAGGCAGGUGCUGUUUAGUGGCUCUCGUCUUCCAGGGCAUCGGGCCCUGUGCACACAGCUAUGGCAAAGAGCAGGUACGCCCCACUGAGCUGGACGGAUCUCCCUGUGUCGAUUGCUGCCUUUGUGCUGCAUUUGGAAGGUGCUGGGUUCUGCUGGGAAGAAGGAGGCUGUGCAGUAGUUGGGGAGGAUGCUGAGUUGGAACCUCUUCUAGCCAGCCUAAGGGCCAGACCAGCAUCUCUUCAUGGGGAGUUGCAGAGGGACCCUCUUCUUCAUCCCCCUGCUGGCCAGGCCAAGUACAGCAGUGGAGAAGCCACUCCGUGAGAGGCAGCAGCUCCUGGCAGGACUUGCUGAGUCUCCUGUGUAGCUGGAGAGGUGAGUGCACCCUGUGGGCUGUGUUUGGCACAGGGGGAGCAGGCUCUGCCAUCAAAAAGACCCAUAGCCACACCAGCCCCCUGAAACAGCUCUUCCUAAGAACAUGGGCAGAGGAGUCAGUGUGAUGCUGGGCCCUGCAGCACAGCCUGGCAGUGGCACAUGCUCCUUCGCUCCCAGGUGGUGCUGCAGGAGUGCUGUGAUCCAGCAAGGUCGGGAAAAAGGCGAUGUCGCACCUUCUGCAGUGUUGGUGUGCAUAAAGUGGGCUGCAGGGGUGAGGGCUGUGCCUUCCUCCCUCCCCCCAGCUCCACCACCCCACCUGGGACAGACCCUGCAGGUCAGCAGGUGCCGUGGGCCCCAGAUGCUCUCCCAUCCUCUCCCCAGGCUGCCAGGCCCUUCCUGGUGUGCUGAAGGCUCCGUUGGUUCCUGGCAGCAGUGAUGGGGUGGGCAGAGGUGCUGGGACCCCAGUCCUGGUGCCAUUGCAGGCAUGGCAGCUGGCUGUGCCUGUGACAGCUCAGACAUCUCAGGGAACAGAAGGGGAAGAAUCCCCAUCGUGUGGAUCUCUAAUUUUCUUCAAUAAAUAAACUUUUCUUUUCCACACUGGCUGUUCUGAGUGGCUCUGCCAGGUGAGUUCUGGUUGGGAGC